ensembl:lncRNA
CGCACAUCCUUAACUAGGGCCUGUCAGGACUAACCCAUUUCGUCAUGUAUUCCUACUUAGGUCUUCACCAAAAGCCCAAGCCUCAUCCUUUAUCUCAUAACCCAAGUGCUUUGUACAUCCUCUAAUCUGAUCCAGUUCCUCUCCCUUCUCCUUCCACCUAAACCCAGAUUUUCACAUGGCUGCUUCCCUCUCAUUGUUCAGGUCUCACAUCAAAUAGCAUCUUCUCAAAGGCCUGUGCUCACUCUGCCAUCUAAGUAGGUUUUAUGUUACGCUCUAGUAUAGCACUAGUUACUUCAUUCACACCACUGUCACAAGUUGUAACUAUAAUUCAGUUUUUGGUUUACUUGUGUAGUACUCUUUGUUUACUUGUUUAUUAUCUAUCUUUCCAAAUUAGACAAUAAGGUCCAUAAAGUCAGCCAUAAUAUUCACGUUGCUUACCACUCUUACCCAAUGCCCAAGUCAGGCUCUAGCAUGGGCAUGUGCUCAGUUAAUCUAUGUUAGAUGAAGAAAACCUACUAAAGAAAUAAAUAGCUAACCAAAAAUUUAUGUAAGCAGAAACAUGGACUUUGUUCCAUUUCCAUGCUGCCACCUUCAAGCAGGUGAACACCAUCUCUUAAUUGAUUGGUUGAAACAACUUUUAACUGGUUGCCCAGCUUCUCCUGCUUCACCACUUCCUUCCCCUCUGAAUCUGCUCUCCACGUAGUAACAAAACUGAUUUAUAAAAAGUAAAUUUGAAAAAAAAUACGUAAUUUGAGACGUCUGCUUCCAAGAAAGAAAAAGUAGAUCUGCUUUAAGUACAACCAAAAACCCUGGACACUAUGCAUAAACAAACAUAGGAAGACUGAAAAGUGGAGAGAAGGCAAAACAAGCCAGGGACGUGGAGACCCAAGGAAUGACAGGGUGGUAAGGUUCCUGGGUUUCUUUUUGCCUCAUAUAUCCCAGAUUUGGAGUUGAAGAAGCUGGCAACCCAGAAACGCCAACUGACAGAAGCAAAAAGAGCCCAAACUAAACCCAUAUAGCCUUGGGGGUUUGAGAGGGAGAAGUACAGUUGGAAAUCAGAAAGGAAGGAGGAGCCAGAGAGGGAGAGUUUGUUAGUGAGGAGGAACAGCAUGCCCUGCAUUUUCCCUUUCUCUCCUUUACAGUCCAACUCACCUGCUCCUCUUCCUCCGGACUACGAGCUUUAGUAGUCUACACUCCAUGCCAAUUCUGACAGCAUCACCACCUGUCCCAACUCCACCACCAUCAGACAGGCACUGACGUCAGAAGAAAUCUGGAGUUUAACCCCAGCAUCUGCCAGAGGCUGUGCCAGUCAGUGGAGAGGAAGAAAAGACGUCGUCUCUGCCUUACAGCAGACGUACAGGAAUAACCACAUCCAGUGGGAGCAAGGCCAAAGCAGAAGCCUGCAGAGCGGACUGUGAGGACGAGCUGGAGGGGGAUGCAGACAAGCUUUUGGAGAGGCGGUCACCUAGAGCUGAGCCUUGGAAGGGGGAUGAGAGAAGCAGCAGAUUCCAGGCAAAAGCAACAACCAAUACUAGCAACAGGAAAAAACAGCUCAGUAUGGAAAAUAAUUGACAUGGCUAGACUUUGCGAUUCAUUCCAUGUGAUGGCUACUCAAUAAACUGCUGGUUAAUUGAUUACCUAGCUAAUCAAUCUGGAGGAAACAGGCUAUAAAAACAGACAAAAGUCAGUUCACGAAGGGGUUCAUAGGCCUACUCAAAGAAUUUAGAUUUUAUUCUCUAAACUAGGAGUUGAAAAUGCAAAUAUCUAUAGGGAUCUUAUAAGAAAUGUGAAUAAGUAAGGUGGGCCAGGUGUAAAAGAAAUAGUAAUUAUGAGGGUUAUACACGAAGUACCUCCUCCAGGUACCAUGUAUGGUACUGUCAACACAUAGAUGUCUAAUAUAUGAUCCUGGCCCUUAGACUGCACACAUAAGUAAGUACUCACAAUAUAACGUGAUGAUUGCCCCCAUUCAUGUACCAAAUACAGUGGGACCAUAGAGGAGGGCCUUACUUAAUUCAAUCUCAGGAAAUCAGGAAGGUGUUACUGAUGAAAUUAUAUUUGAGAUGGACUUGAGGGAUGAGAAGGAGCUCAUCUCUCUUUUCCAGCUACCCCUGAACUUCCUUCAAUCCAAUCAGGUUGGUUUCCCCACUGUCCCACAACACCCCACUCUCGGCUAUGUCCUCUCAAGUCUUUGACUUUGCCUAGUGUGCCCUGCCGCUCUCCCUUAAUUAUGCAAUUCCUACUAACUCUUAAAGGCACAAUGCAGGCCUUCCUCAUGCACAAAAUCCAUGAAGACUUCCCAGGUAUCAAAUCUUCAUUGGUCUAAGAGGCAAGACGCUAUUGGGAGGCUGGAAGACCUUUAGGACACAACAGAGUGCAGAGGCGCUCAGAGAAGGGUGUCUCAUUGUGUGUGGUGAGAAGCUUACUAGUUUGGGAGUCAAGGACUCACUGGCUCUCUGAUUACAGGCAGAUGUUUUAGCCUCUGUUUUCCUCAGUGUCUUAACUCUAAAGUGGAGGCUGAUCCUCAUGAUCAUUUUGGUCCCCUUCAGUUCUAAGAUUAUAACUGUGAUUUUGUGAAGGAAUUUGUUCUCAUUGUUAUACUUCCAGUAGGAUUUCCACACACACUUUCAAAAUUGUCCUUAUGUAACAUGACGAGUGGAAAACCACUAAUCAGUGGCAGCAGUAUUGAAGAGAGUCUUCUCUGUGCCGUUCCAAAUGCCAUCUACUUCCUCCCUGGAUUUAGGAAUUGCAUAGUCACACGUUCACUGAAAUAAAGUUGGCUGUCCUGUUGCCCUGUUACUACUUUGGUCACCUCCUGUUAUCCUAAGAAUAGAUCACUUAUGGUUCUUUCUUUGGACUCUUACAAUUUCACGGCGGUGAGAAAAUAGAGCACAGGUGGAAUACAAAUCCUGGAAUAUCAAGAUUACAGAAAAACUACCUAUGGAAAACAAGAUACAUGAGUUAAGGAAUCUAUGAAACUAUACCAAAAUAAUAAUUAGAAUGAGUUGUUUUUUAUUUUAUCUUAGUUAUUAUAAAUUAUUGAGAAAAAUCAUUUGCAUUUUAUCAGCUUUUAUUAUACAAAUUCAGUCUGCCUCAUGCCAACUCGCUGUAUUAGUUGUACUUUUGGUUAUAAGCAAAAGAACCAACUCUGGCCAGAUUUAAGAAAACGGCAAGUCUAUUGAAAGAACACUAGGGUAUCGCAUGAACCACAAGGAAAAG